GUGUGACUGCUCGCUGGGAGGAAUCUUCAAAGUAUGAAGAUGACUGAUGCAGCCCCUCUUCUCUAGUAGGAUGAGCAAUACGCACAUCAUCAUCAGAAACAUCUUCUAAAGAAGGUGAUGAUGGUUCAUGAGACCUCGUUUUUUGUCCAGAUUUGGUUGGUGUCUUCGUUUUGCCACUUCCUUUGCUUGAUACAUGUCCAUUCCCAUAGCCAAAGUCCCCAUUUCUGGUCAAGCUCUCUGAUCCUUUUCCUCCUUUUUGGUAUACAUGAGAAAAGAAUUUGCCAGAAUACGAAGAACCCUUGCCAUUACUGGCAGUAUGCUUAGAUUGAGAAGAUAUGUGUGAGUUGUCAGGAGAAGAUCCUUCUUCUGUACUCUCAUUUAUGAGUUUCUUAUUUCGCCGCGG
rnacentral:misc_RNA from 1 species